GCAUCUAUGGCUGAGUGGUCGAAAGCAGCGGGCUCAUAACCUGCCUCAGAAAUGACGUCGUGGGUUCAAGUCCCACUGGAUGCA
rnacentral:tRNA from 1 species